GACGAACGCUGACGGCGUGCUUAACACAUGCAAGUCGAACGAUGAAGUUCCUUCGGGAAUGGAUUAGUGGCGAACGGGUGAGGAACACGUGAGAAACCUGCCUUUCAUUUUGGGAUAACUCCGGGAAACCGGGGCUAAAACAGAAUACUCCGUCUCGGCGGCAUCGAUGAGCCGGGAAACAAUUUUGAUGAAAGGUGGUCUCGCGGCCUAUCAGCUAGUUGGUGAGGUAAUGGCUCACCAAGGCAAAGAAGGGUAGCCGGCCUGAGAGGGCGACCGGCCAAACUGGGAAUGAGAAACGGCCCAGACUCCUACGGGAGGCAGCAGUGGGGAAUAUUGGGCAAUGGGCGCAAGCCUGUCCCAGCGACGCCGCGUGAGGGAUGAAGGCCUUCGGGUUGUAAACCUCUUUCAGUAGGGAAGAAGCGAAAGUGACGGUACCUAAAGAAGAAGCACCGGCUAACUAUGUGCCAGCCGCCGCGGUAA
rnacentral:rRNA from 1 species